AGCCUCCUUAACCUGACCAGCGCACCUUGUCACCACGAAACUACACUGUGUAUUCGGCAGAACAAGGUACCGCUGCAAGGCUCAUUUCACACCGCGUCGAGGCAGAUCAGGACAGGAGCACUCCUGAUUAAACCCACUGGCUCCUCUUGCCCCAUUUUCUUCCUGUUCAGCAUUUGCUACCUGGCUUUCAAUCUCGUGCAAGGCUGUCAUCCAGUGAAACUGCACAAAAGAGCCAACAGAGGUUCAAACAGUGGGAGCAGAGGAAAAGAAGUUAGUCCUGGGAUUCAGUGGAGUGGAAGGAAUGGUGCCCCCAGAUUUGGUAUGGCACCUCUCCUUUCUUAGGUUGCCAUAUGACCAUUUGUUCUGUUGACACUGCCUUCCCAGUUAACAUUAGGUUUGGUGUUUGCCUUGGGCUUAACCUUCAGUGGUAAUUAAGACCAAAUAUUUGCUCACAUUAAAAUGGCUCUGUGGUUUUCAUUCUACCCUAUUGACUGAGGACAAAAUGACACUAGCCUGAAAUAUUCUGUUGUGUCCCAAAGGUCCCAGGAGUGAGGAAUUUUCCAAUACUGUAGGAAUCAUUUUGAGUCUUAUCAUGACUUUGCUGUCAUGCUGCGGAUCACAACCUUGGUAGUUUAUAGCUAUCCUCAAUUAAAGAGACUGCCUCUGGCUGCCAGUGAUCAAAUUGGUCCAAUCAAAGCCAUUCUUUUUGGCUUUGGAUAUAGUACCAAAGGUGGAGCUACAGCUCUGGUAACCAAUGAGUGUUGGUGUGUGGAGAGGUGGUUCAAUAUCCCUUCCCAGUAAGUAUUCACCCUCACCUAUGGGAAUUAUUUAAGCUGCACUCUUUGUUUAUCAGUGGAUGCUACAUACUUUAUGCAUGCAGCUCAACUGCUUAUGCUGCAGGUCUUGUAAACACACCCACCAACCCUUGGUAUCACACAUUGCAAGCUUUAUGCAUUUGGAGUCACUACAUGCUUUGUUCAAGUAUCCCACCUGCUUCUCUGCCAAGAUUCCCUCCCACAUUUGGGACUUUUCUUCUGCUCUCUAGCAAGCCUCCUCGAAUCUCCUACCACAUUGCCAGCUUCUCCUGACUCCCACUAUCAGCUUGGACCAUUCUGUACUGCCCAGCCAUCUAUUCCUCACCCUGCCUUCCUUCUGAAACACAUGGCCAGAGUGGAGAGCUGAGUACAGCUGAGCUGCGGCACCUGUUCCUUGUUCUCUUUAACUCAUGUGUGCUGUCAGAUGGGCAGAGGCAGCCUGGGGACAAGAGCUGGUUGAACUGACAGUAUUCCCAUCCAAGGCAGAGGCUGUGCGAGGUGGAAAGAUAGCUCUGGAGACCCACGGAGGAGUUAUCACUUUAGGAGGUGGGUGAUAUUGAUGGAGAUACACUGAGGUGUCUUCCCCUGUACGAAGUUAUCUUUCAGCAGAGCGGCUGACAGAAGCUCCCAUUAAACCACCUGAUCUUUUAAUUCCAUUCAUCAAAGCACCUGCGGCUUCCAUUUCCAGCGAUAAGCCUAGACUGAAGAAAGCAUCCUGAGUGUUUUAAUAAACACACAGCCCCAGUAAAGAGUAGUGAGGAACCCAUUGGCCCCUGGGCUGGCAAAGCCUUGGGCUGGCACCAAUUCCACGUGUAUUUCUCAGAUAUCAGGAAGUAUGAGAGUGUUGGAUGAACCAAGGCCACAGACAAGAUGGAGUCGGGGCCUUUUGUUGGGCUUGGGACAUUCCACAACUUGAAGUGGGGGAAGCAGGUGAAUGGACUCCUGCCGGGACCAAGGUCUGCUACUUUCUACUCUGGUUUGUUAGAAUGAUAAAGGUGUUUUGGGAGAUUAUUCUUGGAGCUAAGGAAAAUGUGGUGAAAAUGCAAAACAUGAAAUAAAAAGAUAAGCCAAUUCCCCUCCACCCAGUGAAUCAAUAAACCUAAGUCAGGAAAUAUUCUUGUCC